rnacentral:rRNA from 1 species
UACGAAGGUGGCAAGCGUUGUUCGGAUUUACUGGGCGUACAGGGAGCGUAUGCGAUUGGGUAAGCCCUCCGUGAAAUCUCCGGGCCCAACCAGGAAAGUGCGGAGGGGACUGCUCGGCUAGAGGAUGGGAGAGGAGCGCGGAAUUCCCGGUGUAGCGGUGAAAUGCGUAGAGAUCGGGGGGAAGGCCGGUGGCGAAGGCGGCGCUCUGGAACAUUUCUGACGCUGAGGCUCGAAAGCGUGGGGAGCAAACAGG